rnacentral:rRNA from 1 species
AAACUAACCAGGAUUCCCCUAGUAACGGCGAGUGAAGCGGGAAGAGCUCAAAUUUGUAAUCUGGCGCGGUUCCGCGUCCGAGUUGUAAACUAUAGAGGCGUUUUCCGUGCCGGUCCGCGUCCAAGUCCCUUGGAAGAGGGUAUCAAAGAGGGUGAGAAUCCCGUGCUUGAUGCGGCCGCCGGUGCAAUGUGAUACGCUUUCUACGAGUCGAGUUGUUUGGGAAUGCAGCUCAAAAUGGGUGGUAAAUUCCAUCUAAGGCUAAAUAUUGGCGAGAGACCGAUAGCGAACAAGUACCGUGAGGGAAAGAUGAAAAGCACUUUGGAAAGAGAGUUAAACAGUACGUGAAAUUGUUGAAAGGGAAACGAUUGAAGUCAGUCGUGCCGUGGGGGUUCAGCCGGCUCUGCCGGUGUACUCCCCUGCGGCGGGUCAACAUCAGUUCUGUCCGGCGGACAAGGGCUGGGGGAAGGUGGCACCUCUGGGUGUGUUAUAGCCCCCUGCCGCAUACGCCGGGCGGGACUGAGGACUGCAGCUCGCUUUGUGCCGGGCCUCGGCCACGUCCGAGCUUUGGAUGUUGACGUAAUGGCUUUAAACGAC